rnacentral:lncRNA from 1 species
GGGGAAAUAUAUGUAGCUGAAAGUGACUUCAUAUUCUGACCCUUUCUCUGGAUUGUACGAGGCAAAAGAAGUCAAUAUUUGCAAACACAAAGCCACAUGACAUGAUGGCACAAAGCAGCAAUUAUUUCUGUGCAUCAAUAUACAAAGGCAGCUUGACAUCACAGUGACCCCACAAACAUGACCUCCUCUGCUCGGCCCUGCAGUACUGGUCCCGGGUCACAAGGCAGCUCCAGCCAACUGGGUCAAGGGGACCAGCUGGGAACAGAGCCCAGAUCUGCCUUGCCCAAGCACAGCGAAGACAGGAGGCACACGCCGAGCUUUGGGGUAUUUCAACUACAGUGGUUCUUAACAUGCAGUCCCAGAACAACAUCGUCAAUACCAACUGGAAACUUGCCAGAAAGCAAAGUCUGA